rnacentral:rRNA from 1 species
ACGGGGUGCAGCAGGCGCGAAAACUCCGCAAUACACGAAAGUGUGACGGGGGAACCCCGAGUGCACUCACGCAAGUGAGCGCUUUUGUGAAGUGUAAAUAGCUUCACGAAUAAGAGCUGGGUAAGACCGGUGCCAGCCGCCGCGGUAACACCGGCAGCUCGAGUGGUGAUCACUAUUAUUGGGCCUAAAGCGUCCGUAGCCGGUUUGGUAAGUCCUUGGGCAAAUCCUGUCGCUUAACGGCAGGAAUUCUGAGGAUACUGUCAGACUUGAGGCCGAGAGAGGUCGGAGGUACUUCUGGGGUAGCGGUGAAAUGCUAUAAUCCUAGAGGGACCACCGGUGGCGAAGGCGUCCGACUAGAGCGGGCCUGACGGUAAGGGACGAAAGCCAGGGGAGCGAACGGGAUUAGAUACCCCGGUAGUCCUGGCCGUAAACGCUGUGGGCUAGGUGUUGCAUGCUCUACGAGGGCGUGCAGUGCCGAAGAGAAGUUGAUAAGCCUACCGCCUGGGAAGUACUAUCGCAAGAUAGAAACUUAAAGGAAUUGGCGGGGGAGCACCACAAGGGGUGAAGUCUGCGGUUCAAUUGGAUUCAACGCCGGAAAUCUCACUGGAAGCGACGGCAGAAUGACAGCCAAGCUGAUGACUUUGCUUGACGAGCCGAGAGGAGGUGCAUGGCCGUCGUCAGCUCGUACCGUAAGGCGUCCUGUUAAGUCAGGCAACGAGCGAGACCCGUGCCCUUAUUUGUCAGCUAGUCCCUGCGGGGACUAAGACCCAUUAAGGGAACCGCUGCUGAUAAAGC